rnacentral:lncRNA from 1 species
UGGUCAAUCUUUUUUGAGGCAGUGUGGCUUUUCUGGAGUGUUGAUGGGGCUAACAGUGUUUCUUUGAAGCAAAGGAGGACUUCCUGAGGGCAGACAGGACUGGGAGGUCCACACCACGAUGGUAGCAGAUUUCACUUAGUCAUGCAGAACUUGCUCUGGUGUUUUUAGACUGUGGGGUUCUUGCAGGGUGUUGGCAGUGUUGGGCAGCUGUUCCUCAGGUGUGCAGCACCCCCUGGGGGCUGGAGCAGCUAUCUGGGUCACUGAGAACCUAAGAGGCUCUUCCCUAGGGCAGUCCAACUCAGAAGGACGGCCUGAGAAUGUAGGCAGAUCUUUUCACAGUCUGGCCAAGCUUGUUGCAGCUUUUCUGGGCUGCAGGGGCUCCUCCAGGGAGCUGGUGGUGCUGAGCAGCUAUUCCGCGGGAGCAGGGCACCCCCUGAGGGCUUGGGUGCCUAGCAGGGCUGCUGGAAACCCAAGAGGCUCCUCCCCAGGGCAGCCCGACUCAGAAAGACCGUCUGAGAUCUUUUCCCGGCUCAGCCAAGCUUGUUGCAGCUUUUCUGGGCUGCAGGGGGUCCUGCCUGGAGCUGGCCGUCCUAUGCAGCCGGACCACUAGGUCUCAGCACCCCCUGAGGGCUUGGGCAGGUAGCAGGGCCGCUGAAAACCCAAGAGGCUCCUCCCCAGGGCAGCCCGACUCAGAAAAACCAUCCGAGAAUUAGGCAGAUCUAUUCACAGCCUGGCUAGGCUUGUUCUAGCUUUUCUGGGCUGCAGGCCUUUUCUCAGGGGCUGGUGGUGUUUGGUGCUGCUCUGCGGAAGUGUAGCCCCUCCAAAGGGCAAGCAGGCCUGUGCAGGGAGAGCCCCUGCGGUAGUAGGCUUCAGGCAAUUGUUGAGGCCAGCCCUCCUGGACGGCAGGCAUCCCCAGGUCCGGCGAGAGCGUAGGGGGUGGCGGGGGUGGGGGAAGGGGAUGCGCUGGGAAGCACAGCUUUCUGCUAGCUAGCGGGCAUGUAAGCUUGCUGUGGCGUGGGGAGUAUUCUAUGGGGCCCCACCCCUUCUUCUCUCCCCUCCCCAGCACGGGCACAGACCAGGCUCUUCUCCCAGGUUCCCUCUGAUGCGGCUUUCCACUCCCCCGCCCCUAGAGUAUUGCUCCCUUCCUCUGCGACAGCUUUGUUUUCUAGUCUCCCAGGCAGUCUCUGCCCUGUCAAACUUGACGGACCAGUUUCUAGACCUCCCAAGCAGUCUCCACUCCGCCCCGCCCCCCCAGCCCGUUUUCUCGGGGACUAACCUCUGGAGCCGAGGUCUCGGUGCCCAGCCCCCACCCAGGCUAGGGGUCGAGUCAGAGCUGCUGUUGCAGGCCUACACCCCAGCCACAGCAACACCAGAUCCUUAAGCCUCUGAGCAAGGCCAGGGAUCUGUCAGAUUCUUAAUCCGCUGAGCCACAAUGAGAACUCCUUUUAAAAAGUUUUAUCUCAAAUGUACACAUCCUUAAACAAUACACUGCAUAGUCUUACUUGCUUCUGAGCAUUCACGGCCCUUUCAGUGGAGUUAUUAAAUGGAUUUUCUGUCUCCAAAUGAGAGGGUGACAAUUCACAAAGGUGCCUGCUUUCUCUCAGAACUAUACCUCCAAUAUAACAUACUGACAUUGGGGAUUUCUGGAGGGGAGAGGGAAUCGUGGCACAAAAGUCCUUAUCAUAGAGUAAGUUUAAGCUAUGACCUCAAAAUAGGAGUAUUGAAUUAAAUUACAUUUAGUAGGUAAUUCAUAUACCCACCUUUGAUUUUUUUUAAUUGUUAUUCAUUGGCAAAUGCUUCCUUAUUGUUAAAUUUGUAAUUGCCCUCAUACACCAAUGAUGUCCAGGAAUCUCUCCACAUCUCCCUUCCAUUCAUAAUCCCCAUGACUCAUUAUUUCAGAGUGAGAGAAAGGCAACUCCUGAAUAACUGACUCCCGAACUUUCCCUAGAUGCCCACAAUUGUGACCACGGGUUCAGCGACUAUAUGUUUUGAAAGGAAAACCCAUAGGACAUUUCUCUCACAAGUACUAAUAGGACAAUAGCACAGAUCAUCUGAAAUGAGUUACUGCAAAAACUAGGAUGAUGGUUGCCCAGCUGGAGUGAGCACCCUUAUCUUUAGCUCUUGCUGAUUUACAAGGGAGCCACGAGCAUGAGAAGGACCAGCUGGUUAGUGAAUAACUAGCAGUAAUACCAGGGGGGAAGGCCAAGUGGUAUCUCACUAAAAUUUCUUUGUUUUAUUUCAGAGCUGGAAAUAACUUCUGGUGGAUUCCUGUAGUGGGCCCUUUGGUUGGAGGUGCUAUUGGAGGCCUUGUCUAUGUUCUUUUCAUUGAAAUUCACCACUCAUAUCCUAACCCACACUUUGAGGUCGAACAAUCGGAGGACAAACCAGAGAAAUAUGAACUUAAUGUGAUAAUGUAAUAGCAUGCUCAGUCCCAGGUUUAUACAAUUGGCUUCCUAUAGGGCUUGGCAUUUCACAAGGCACUUUCACACACAUUAUCUAAUUUAAUCUCCAUAGUACUAUCUGGGGUAAAUACCAUGCUGCUUAUCUUUCAGAUAAGGGAACAAAAUCUCAGCAAAGUUAAAUGAGUUGCCUAAGGUCACAUGGAAAGUUGGACAUUAUCAAAUACAUCCUACACCUUUCAGAAGAUCAAUAACUGGAUUAAAACUUUGGCCAGCCUCUCUUGGGUGGCCAGAAGUGGGAUUGGCAGCUGCCAGAAAGCAUACACCUGAGCAUCAUUCUUCUGGAUCCUCGGUUAUGAAGACAUUUACUGUCUGGUUUUAUCCCCACUGUUAUUGAAGCCCUAACAAAGGAAAGAGGUAGCCAUUGCAUCAUAUUUUUCAUGUGCUAAAGAACAUUAUCAAAAAGCCUCCCUUCUGAGGCCACCCUUAGUGUUGCUAAGCCUUGAUCUUCCUGCCAAUCGCAAACAUUAUACAUUUCAGGAAUUUCUUCUUGGUCAGGCCCCUCCCUGUCACUUUGGUCAAAAGAGUAUGAACCACAAGCACCAGAGAAACUGCUCUACAUCCAGUGAUGCACCUUCACUCAAACUGUUACAAAGCUCAGAAUCCCCAAAGCUUUCUUGUUUCUCAACUGCUCUGUGAUGAUAACAGAAACACAAAAGGCAAAUAUGAAAUGUCUUUAGAGGCCUAUGUUUUGGCAUAGACUGACAUAUGGAAUUUUUUUUCUUGCUUUGAAACUACUUGAUAUUUCUUAUUUGAAAUAAAUUUGGGAUGAGGGUGUUUUGGUGGGGUUUUGGGGUUGGGGUUGUUUUGGAGUUUUUAUAAGUAUUAGGACUCCUAAGUACACCUAGCUCAGAAGUUGUCUGUCCUGUCUAUAAAGUGAGAUUUGGGGGAGCUUUUAAAAAAAUACUAAUUCUUGGUUUAGUAAACAUCUCAGGUGAUUCUAAUGUGCAGAACACUGACUUGGUUAAAACACAUGGGUCUCCUUGAGAACCAUAUCUACUGGUGGCCAAGUAAUUCCUGGUACAAUUCUAGGUCUUGGGAUCCUCAGGGAUUAGAGAGCAGUGGUUUCUCAGUAGGGGCAGUUUGCUUUUUCCCACUUCCACUUACCCUACAAGAAGACACUUGGCAAUGUCUGGAGAUAUUUUUAGUUGUCACAAUUGGGGUGGGAGUGUUCCUGGAAUCUAGUGGGUAGAAGUCAGAGAUGGUGCUAAACAUCCCACCAUGCACAGAGCAGCCCUCCCCUGAGUAAAGGAAUAUUCAUCCCCAAAUGUAGACAGUGUGGAGGUUAAGAGGCCCUGGAUUCAAGGAAAGGCAGAGGAGUAAGACAAUGAAAUUCUGUGCCCUAAUCCAAGUUCUGUCCAAAAAAAAGAGAGGCCAGAUAAGUCCAGACCAGACCCAUGGAUGUGAAUUAUACUUAUGAGAGGAAGAGGUAACCCAAAAUUUGAGUUUUCAAGCUGGAUUGUGGAAUCUAUGAUCCAUGCAGGUGCUCAUUCUAUACUACCUGGUGAUUCAUGACUAGGAUUAUGAAGAAGAAAUGUGCACUGUGGAAAACAACCCCAGAAGAAUUUUUUUUUUUUAUGGAAAAAAAAAGUCUUCUUGUUCCAUGUGCUUACACUCAAAUCCUCCCUGUUUCCCAGCUUACAUGUGGGUUUACCUGGGACUUCAAGGGGUUUAAAUCAUCUGUAUCAGAAGUUAGUUAAAGCCAAAUACCUGUUGCUAAAAAUAGAUUCUUUAGGAGCUAGAACUUCAACAACUUCCCUCUUCCUUGUCAACCACAAAACUUAAUAGAAACAUUUACUUUAAUGUCAAAAGGUAGAAUUUCUCUAUGAUUCCUCAACCAAUUGAGAAUUCUGAGCAUGUCAAAGGUUGUAAGACCUUUCUAACCAUUAAGAGCCAGAGGUAACACUCAGCUGAUGAAUAAACUAAGUGGAAUAAAAAUAUCACAUUUAAAAAUCCGAUCCUUAAAAUAAAAAUACAGAUUUUUAUUUCCUUUAAACUGCUUACACACACACAUACACGCACCUUAUUUAAAGCUAUGUCAGUACUCAAAAAUGUCAUUAUGGAAAAAGAAUUUACAAUUUCCAGUUACAGAGAAUGGUUUACAAGUUUGAUUUAGCCACAGAACCUAUUGUUCAAAUAAAAUCUCAUGUGGUAUCCACGAGGAAACCAGAGCUGCUAUAAACAGAGACUGGGGAAGAAUAUUUGGGUUCCAUCCUGCCUAUGACAUCCUCUUACACCCUCCAAUACAGCCACUCGGGGUCUGUGAAGAGAAACUCUGUGAGUGGGUGGGGGUGAGAGGAUCUUCUGAACAUAGGUUGUAAACUAUUGAUAAAGGAUUUGGGACAAGUUGUUGAAUAUUUUUUAUAAA